rnacentral:rRNA from 1 species
GGACUACUAGGGUAUCUAAUCCUGUUUGCUCCCCACGCUUUCGCACCUGAGCGUCAGUCUUUGUCCAGGGGGCCGCCUUCGCCACCGGUAUUCCUCCAGAUCUCUACGCAUUUCACCGCUACACCUGGAAUUCUACCCCCCUCUACAAGACUCUAGCUGGACAGUUUUAAAUGCAAUUCCCAGGUUGAGCCCGGGGCUUUCACAUCUAACUUAUCCAACCGCCUGCGUGCGCUUUACGCCCAGUAAUUCCGAUUAACGCUUGCACCCUCCGUAUUACCGCGGCUGCUGGCAC